rnacentral:rRNA from 1 species
AUUGAACGCUGGCGGCAUGCCUUACACAUGCAAGUCGAACGGCAGCGGGGGCUUCGGUCCGCCGGCGAGUGGCGAACGGGUGAGUAAUGUAUCGGAACGUACCAUUCAGUGGGGGAUAACUAUCCGAAAGGAUAGCUAAUACCGCAUAUUCUGUGAGCAGGAAAGCAGGGGAUCGCAAGACCUUGCGCUGAUUGAGCGGCCGAUAUCAGAUUAGCGAGUUGGUGAGGUAACGGCUCACCAAGGCUACGAUCUGUAGCGGGUCUGAGAGGAUGAUCGGCCACACUGGGACGGAGACACGGCCCAGACUCCUACGGGAGGCAGCAGUGGGGAAUUUUGGACAAUGGGCGCAAGCCUGAUCCAGCCAUGCCGCGUGAGUGAAGAAGGCCUUCGGGUUGUAAAGCUCUUUCGGCCGGGAAGAAAUCGCAUCAGCUAAUACCUGGUGUGGAUGACGGUACCGGAAUAAGAAGCACCGGCUAACUACGUGCCAGCCGCCGCCGUAAGAC